rnacentral:ncRNA from 1 species
GAGUGAAUAUUAGAAAAUCUUUGUAUGCCUGUUCGCUCUCAGUGAUGUUCUGCCAUGGACGGCAGAACAAGGCUUCACGAGCCAUGAAUGGCUCGUUGAAUGCCGGGCACGUCACUCUGAAAUAAUUUUCACCAGGCAUAAUUAGAUUUUUCUUAUAUU